UUGUGAAAAAAAAAAAAACAAUUAGAAAGGGAAAGACAUGGUAGACCAGCAGUCUUCACUUGAUUGUGUUUCAUUUAUCAACCAUAUCUCUAAAUUUGACAAUGCAAGCUAAUGCACGCUCGAAAUGGCCAUCUUCUAAGGCAAUGGUGAAGCGACAGUAACCAGGAAUUCCGGUCCAUGUAGAGCUAUUAAUGCACAAGCCCGUGGUUUUAAGCAUGGCUUCUCUAAUAUUUGUGUCAUCAAGUUUGCCUUCCCAUGAAACUGAAUCUUCCCCAAUUUUCACCGCCUUCCCAAGGUAGGUAGAUGGCUUUGCCACCACUGAAACGCCAGAAUAAGCCUCGAGCACAUCCCAGCCACAACUUUCAAGGGUCUUUUUCAAGAGCUUAUAUCGACUAGCCAGGAUAUUUUCAUGCUCUGAGACAGCAUUGGAAAGUUCUGCUGUUCGUUCUCUUGAAUCCAACAGCUUCUUUACUUGGUAUUUGAUAGUGCUGUGAGGUUUACUCAAACCUGGAAAACUGUGGAAUGCUUCAAUUAGCGCAGGCUGGUCUACAAGUAGAAAUCCAAAUGUGACUCCAGCAGUAAGCAUCUUCAGAAACAAUCCUCCAAGCAAAGAAACACAGAAUGACUGAUUCUGAGAUCUUAGUUGAGCUAGAGUGUCCUUCAAAUUCCAGCCAUCCG
rnacentral:misc_RNA from 1 species